CUAAUUUUAUUGUUUAAUUUUUUUCAAAGUGUAUUUGAAAUCCAUUCUGUAAUGCCAUACCUGCACAUUUCUGGCAAUGGCUUGACUUAGGGCAUCAAGUAGAUAUACCAAAGAUAAACCAGAGUGAGUGAGCAAGACACAGACAAGAUGUUACACAAAGAGACAGUUCUUUAUUUAAAAAAAAUAAGUGAUAUGAAAAUAUGAAGUGUGUUCAAUUUGUUUUCAUAUUGAGCAUAAAGUGAGAGACACUCACAUCCAUAAGUCCGAUCAUUUUCAGCUUAUGUAUUGACACAAAAAAAAUAAAGAUAAACAUAAAAACAAAUAAAAAAUGCCAGAACUCUAUUCCAUCUCCCUUCUUCCUCUUUAAAUAGCACAGAAGGGACAGCAUAGGACUUUCGACGUCCCCAAAACAAAAUGUGCCCUACUCCAAAGACCCUCAAGGGCUUCCUUCAACCAGGCAUAACUAAAAAUAAAAGAAACAUUCAGUGCAUCCUUUGUUUAUAGGAGAUAAAACCAAGAGAACAUAUACCUCCUCCUCAACUCAUUCAGGUACCUCAGGGGUGCCUAUGGCAUACCCUGCCACUUGGCAGACUCAACCUAAGUCAAGAAGAUAAACUCCCCUCCCCACUGCAGACAUUCAUUCUCUUCAUUUUAUACACCCUAUGAGAUUCCAUCCACCAAUCAUAUUAUUCAUUUCACCAAGCUCCUUCCAAUUACCUAGUCCAGCAUCAUAUCUUGCUGUAUGACCCAAAAGAAAGCCAAAAGAAGUGUACCAACAUGGACAGUCUAAAUUGGACCACUCUGUGGUAAGUAGUCCCUUCUAAUUCAUGAGCUCUCCUAGCUUGCACUGAGACAUUUUUCCCCUUUCCUUCACGGAACAACAUCUGUUGCUCAGAUGUCUUUGCGCAUCCCAGCCGGAAGACCAGGUACAAGGUAGAUUUUGCUUGUUAAACAAGGCAGAUAUUGUGAGAUGCUGCCUAAAGGACGAACUUACAAGGUAGUGGCUGAAAGGGUGUUCUUCCUUUGAGAAGCCACUGUUAGUUUGUCUGCAAUGAUGUCUAAUGGGGAAUGCCAGGAGCAGAAAAAAAACUAUGUACAUUAGUAGGAGAAGUACAGUAUAUGUAAGAACAGAAUCUUAUUAAUAGAUUUCUAAACAAAAUCUGCAAGGAGAAGGCAGUGAGACAAUCCAAAGCAUGUGAAUGAAUGUGCCAAGAACACUGAGGGAGCGAAGGAAAGAGGCAACUGUAACUCGUAUACUAA